UUUCUUUAGAGCAUUUUAAAUUUAUAGAUCCUGUGGAACACUGCCUGUUUUUGCGAAUGAAAGGGUCAGAAGCAGUUAUUUGUUACAUUCAAGCCCCCAGCAGACAGCACUGGCAUCCAAGGCAUAUUUGUAUUUCCCAAGAAGCUUUGCACUAGGUUUUAUUUUCAACUUUAAGCUCACUGUGUCUCUGCCCCUGUGGGUUACUCAAGAUGCAGAAGGAGGUCUCCACCCUGACGCCACAGGGGAUCCUGAGACAAGUGACUUAUCUCACAUGUCAAAGGGCAGAGCUAAAAGCAGGACUUGACUUCCCAACUGGAGAAACUGUUUUGGACCAGCUGCAUCGCAACCAUGGCCCCCGUGCAGGAGCAGCUACCGUGUGAGGAGCCUGAGUACCUAGCUCAAGGGCAGGAACUGGGCCCUGUUCCUUGUUUCCCCCACAGCCUUAUACGGCACACAGAAGGCAGAUAAUCAGUAAGGAGCCUGCUUUACAGUUUCAACGGGCAAAGUGGAACCUGACUAUCUCCAUGUUAGAUGCAGGCUGGAGCUGAAGAGGAUUGAAAACAUCCCUGGCAGCUCUCAGAAAAGCCUGGUCUGGGGACAUAGGAAGAAGGACUUAUUUCGGAAUGGAAGAAUUUCAGAGACUUCUUUUCCAACCGGAUAUUGAGCUGUAAGCUCAGUGGUGUUCGUGUUAAAUGUCUUAUCCGUCUCAAUGUGUACAUUAUUACUUCUGGCAAAUAAAGAAAAAUUAUGACUUCACAAAGAAACCAGUGAGUGUAAUCAUAUCCAUUCAUCUCUCUCCUUUUCUAUGGGAAAAAACUGGCCUGUAUAUCGAACUUUGGUCAGAAGGAAAUGUUUAUAUAAAUUUGUCCUUAAGCAAGUACUUGGGCACGUGUGUGUUCUUUGUUAAGGGAAGUGGCGUCCCAGCUCACUUGACUUACCUUUGAAGUCUCUCAGCCAGGCCUGUCCCUGGCGUCUCAGGUUCCGCUGUGGCCCUGGGCUCCGGCAGGCUCACCUCUCUAGGGCCGAGCGCCACAGUGUUAGCCCCAUGCCCAGAUCCUGGAAGGGUGGAUCUCAGAGGCUAUGAAAUCAGGUAUUAAAUCAAAUUGCUUGUUCUUUCCAUUGAUAUUUACCCUUACCUGAAAGGGGGUUUUGUUUCUCCAUUUGUUUUUCCUGAGGCCAUCAGCCUCCUCUGCGGGGCCUGGGCUUGUGGGGUGACAGGGCUUGGGGCUUCAGCUUCACACCAACCUAGAGUGUCUCCAAUUAUCUGAAGCUUGUUGAAACAUCCUCAAAAUUAAAGUAACCUCAGUUCACUUAGGCUUAAUAAAUCAUCACUCUGCACUGUAGGGAGCAGAAAGGAGAACACUGAGAAGUCAGGAAGAUUGGCGCCCUUGGAGAUUAUUUUGGGCUGGUUCAUCACCACCUUUCUUUUUGCCAUGGCAGGACUGCAGUGCUGAUUUGGUUAAAGAAAGAUGUUUUUUUUCUGAAUCACAACAUCAACCAGCCCUCCCUUUAUAUUUACUCCACAGCCCUUCAUUGUCU